GCGCGAGUGGCGGAAUUGGUAGACGCGCUGGCUUCAGGUGCCAGUGGUGGCAACAUCGUGGGGGUUCAAGUCCCCCCUCGCGCA
rnacentral:tRNA from 5 species